ACUUCUUGAGUAUUUUAUGUACGAGUGACUUCCAAUCACUAAGAUUGAUCUUCAAAAGAAGUA
rnacentral:tRNA from 1 species